UUAACUUCGCUCCCUUUUAAAGCAAAAGAAAAGCAUCGGGCAGCACGUGAGCGAUUUUACAUACUGCCACCCAUUGAUGAUCAUUAAUAGACGAGAAUGCCAACGAGGAAUUUAGCGCACAAUUGGCGUGUGUUGCUGGAAAUGGCAUCUCCCCCUGCAACGGCCCCUGCUUGCCUAGUAGCGUGAGCAUGAAGCAAUGCGCGAGCGGAGAGCUCUGAACAUGCACAGAGUCAGUCUGCUGCUCAUCUCACUAGCGGGAGCACGUACAGCGUGCACUUAAAGAAACAAUAUGUGAUUCACAUCAGCCACAUGUUUCUUUCAGCCCCACAGCGCGUCUUUAUUCAUUCGAGAUUCCUUUAAAUGUUCAGAAGAAGCCACUGGAGACCUUCCUGUUCCCUUUGGUGUUUAAAGCUUCCAGCAACCAGCUGCACUUCAUGGCCAUAGAUAAAGAAAACCCCAUGCACAAGGAGUUAAUAAGUCAAACAAGUAAGAGCAUUGUCUACAAUUUCAAGAUGCUCUUGGAGGAAGUAAACAAGCAGACAUGGAGACGUGAAAUUAAGAACCCUCUUCUUUCCCCCCUUCCAUGUGACUGCAGAGGCAUAUGACUUCCAUAACUUCAUCGCUCAUUAAGCGCUGAUGGUAGGACACAAUUGAGCGAGUGUUUGUGGAACUUGCCCUAGAUAUUCAGAUCUCAGUCCUUGGCUCUGGCUGUUGGGCAGAUCUUCUCCUGUUUCAGAUAUAUUGACCAUGCCUGACAGCAGACCGUUAGGAGCUUCACAUGAGAGUCCCGUGUAAGGAGUGAACUAUGGGAUAUAAAGUCCUGUUGUGUCCAUUUAAAUGCCUUAACAAGCUCCACAGCAAACAAAAGACAGAUUAGCAUGAUUUACCAUGACGGUAUUAUUAAAUGACCUCAUCUACACAUGAGCCAACAAUUGAGUUACUUUUAUAUGUGUGCAGACAGUAAGCACUGUGUAUUCUUUGUUCAUUAAUAGUUUGGUACACCACAUUUUGUAAGGUCUUGAAUAGAGCUAGCACUGGUUAGACCAAAAUUGCAUAUUCAGAGGUAUCUUUCAAAACCAAUAUUACCUAUUAGCAUCAAAGCUAUGCAUGAACGACUUUAGGCUAGGCAUUGUCUGGGCUUGACUGGGAUGGGAUCUCGUUUAAAAAGUAAUGCAUUUAUAAAAUAUAUAAUUAAAAUGUUGAUUAUAUUAUGUUGUAUAUUUUAAAAUAACGCUGGUAACUCUCAAACAAUAAAGGGAAAACGAUCAAAAUCCUAUUGUCUGUGGUUCGUGUGUAAAUAAAAACUGAUGGGAGGAUGCCACCUAGUGGUAUAUUUCAUGCAACCAGCAGACGGAUGUCUAGUUUCAUUCAGCUCAUACAUUCAUAGAAAAGACAACAAGCUCUAUUAAUGAACCUGAUGUCAUUUCUGUGUAAUGCUGAGAGCGAGGACAAGCAUUAGACCUAGAGAAAGGACGCACACAAUUUAUGAGGAGACUUUUAAGGACACAAGGUGGGUGGGAGCUAGAUUUCCUCUUUGGCCUAGAAAAGACAACACAAUCUUUGCCAGCUUCAGAAUUCCCAUCAUUCCCUGGAUAUUAACACAUUCAUUUUAGGUAAAGGAAAUUGCACACCAGACCAGCUAUGGU